GGAUGCGAUUAUAUAAGCACUAAUGCACCAGAUCUCAUCAGAACUCCGCAGUUAAGCGUAUUUGGACGAAAGUAGUAUUAAAGAUGGAUGACCUUCCAGACAGUUCUCUUGUUGCAUCUU